CUCCCGUGAUAUUUGUAACCGGGCUGAUGCCCGGCGGCCGGCGCCCUGGUGAAACGAAACCGUCCUUUACCGUGUGUCGAAUCAAAUCGGCAGGAACGGAGGAAUCAGUAGUUUACAAAUUCACGUCGUUUUCUCCGUGCGCUACCGAAAUAUCCACCGCGGCCAGCGCGGUUAAGAUAUCCUGCAGUAGUGGAGUCCACAUCGGGGCACCUGAAAAUCGAGGAACUCCCCGGCUUGUUUUUGCUCAGCUAGAUCACGAAUGGGAGCAUGGCUUCUUGCUAGUGGGGAUAAAAAGGGGGUCUUAUCUGCAGUCAUUUCCCUUUCCAACACCGCGC
rnacentral:lncRNA from 1 species